rnacentral:rRNA from 1 species
AUUGAACGCUGGCGGCAUGCCUAACACAUGCAAGUCGAACGGCAGCACGGCAGUAGCAAUACUGUGGGUGGCGAGUGGCGGACGGGUGAGGAAUACGUCGGAAUCUGCCCAGUCGUGGGGGAUAACUAGCCGAAAGGUUAGCUAAUACCGCAUACGACCGAGAGGUGAAAGCGGGGGACCGCAAGGCCUCGCGCGAUUGGAUGAGCCGACGUCGGAUUAGCUAGUUGGUGGGGUAAAGGCCCACCAAGGCGACGAUCCGUAGCUGGUCUGAGAGGAUGAUCAGCCACACUGGAACUGAGACACGGUCCAGACUCCUACGGGAGGCAGCAGUGGGGAAUAUUGGACAAUGGGCGGCAAGCCUGAUCCAGCAAUGCCGCGUGUGUGAAGAAGGCCU